AGGAGAGGUGCUGUCACCACGGGGCUCUGUGACCCUCCACACUGCUCUUCAAGACCUGUGGCAUCUUCAUUCCAAGAGCUCAGUGAUGAAAGUUGGUGGAAAGCAGAUGGAGGUGCUGGGAAGGGCUUGUGGAGAGAGAGAUGGGGCUCCAUUUUUACUUAGUUGGAGUGAAGUGCUGCAGAACUCAGGGUCUGUGAGACUGUGACAGAGAUAAGAACUGAUAAACAUCUGAGUCUGAACAGGAAAUACCAUCUCACACAUUUAAUCCUGACCCUGACAAGAAAGAAGUUAAGACUCGACAGCCUUCCACUGGACAAAGCACAAGGGGUAACUCCCUUCAAAGUCACAAUGGAUGCUUCCUUCCUGCUUCAAAAUCCAAAUGGAUGCUUCCUUCCUGACCUGGGGGUGUUUUCAGACCAUCUUGGUGACACCUGGAUGUGCUCAUAAAUACAGACAGCAAUCUUUGCUUGCUCCUGGCCCUGCUCCUCUUCCUGGGCCACUGGGUUGAAUUUUUGUGAUGACAAAUUUUGAAUUUUGAAUUUUUGCUCCAGUGUGGUAGGAGCAAAAGAUUCCUGCAAAAGCCAGGAAUCGUGGAAUAGCCUGAGCUGGGACCUACAAGGAUCAUUGAUCCAGCUCCUGGCCCUGCACAGACACCCCAACAAUCCCAUCCUGUCCCUGGGAGAUUGUCCAAAUUCUCCUGGAGCUCUGGCAGCAUCAGGGCCGUGCCCAUUCCCUGGGGAGCCUGGGCAGUGCCCAGCACCCUCUGGGGGAAGAACCUUUCCCUGAUAUCCAACCUCAACCUCUCCUGGGACAGCUCUGGCCAUUCCCUUGGAUCCUGGCACUGUCACAGGGAGCAGAGAUUGGAGUUGUCCCUGUGCUGUCCCUCAGGAGUAGCUGCAGUCCCCAGUGAGUGCCCCCUCAGUGUCCCCUUCUCCAGACUCCAUCCAGUCCUUCCCUGCCACCUUCUCUCAUCUGGCCCAUUGCUCCCCCUUCCUUGCUCACCUGAGCUCACCUGAACCUCCCUCACACAUGGUGGGAUGUGAGCUGGCUGUGUCCAUCACCUUGUGCUUCCUUGCUGGGA